AGUAAAAUGGUUUGAUAUGAGGUGUGCAUAUAGUAUGGCAUGUCCUUUAUAAGAACUGACCAUUGUUUUUUUCUACUUAUUAGAAAUGGGGUCUUUAUAGCCCUUUAAAGUGUAAUAAUGUCCCAUAUCUCAAAAAUGCUGCAGUAAAAGGGUUUGAUAUGAGGUGUGCAUAUAGUAUGGGAUGUCCUUUAUAAGAACUGACCAUUGUUUUUUUCUACUUAUUAGAAAUGAUGUCUUUAUAGCCCUACAAAUCACCAUUUGGACCCAUAUCUCAAAAAUGCUGCAGUAAAAUGGUUUGAUAUGAGGUGUGCAUAUAGUAUGGCAUGUCCUUUAUAAGAACUGACCAUUGUUUUUUUCUACUUAUUAGAAAUGGGAUCUUUAUAGCCCUUUAAAGUGUAAUAAUGUCCCAUAUCUUGAAAAUGCUGCAGUAAAAUGGUUUGAUAUGAGGUGUGCAUAUAGUAUGGGACAUCCCUGAUAAGAACUGACUGUUGCUUUUUUCUACUUAUUAGAAAUGGGAUCUUUACAGCCAUUUAAAGUGUAAUAAUGUCCCAUAUCUCGAAAAUGCUGCAGUAAAAUGGUUUGAUAUGAGGUGUGCAUAUAGUAUGGGAUGUCCCUGAUAAGAACUGACUUUUGUUUUUUUCUACUUAUUAGAAAUGGGAUCUUUAUGACCCUUUAAAUUGUAAUAAUGUCCCAUAUCUUGAAAAUGCUGCAGUAAAAUGGUUUGAUAUGAGGUGUGCAUAUAGUAUGGGACAUCCCUGAUAAGAACUGACUGUUGCUUUUUUCUACUUAUUAGAAAUGGGAUCUUUACAGCCAUUUAAAAUGUAAUAAUGUCCCAUAUCUCGAAAAUGCUGCAGUAAAAUGGUUUGAUAUGAGGUGUGCAUAUAGUAUGGGACAUCCCUGAUAAGAACUGACCAUUGUUUUUUUCUACUUAUUAGAAAUGGGAUCUUUACAGCCAUUUAAAGUGUAAUAAUGUCCCAUAUCUCGAAAAUGCUGCAGUAAAAUGGUUUGAUAUGAGGUGUGCAUAUAGUAUGGCAUGUCCUUUAUAAGAACUGACCAUUGUUUUUUUCUACUUAUUAGAAAUUAUGUCUUUACAGCCCUCCAAAUCACCAUUUGGACCCAUAUCUCAAAAAUGCUGCAGUAAAAUGGUUUGAUAUGAUGUGUGCAUAUAAUAUGGGACGUCCCUGAUAAGAACUGACUAUUCUAUUAUUCUACUUAUUAGAAAUGGGAUCUUUAUAGCCCUUUAAAGUGUAAUAAUGUCCCAUAUCUCAAAAAUGCUGCAGUAAAAGGGUUUGAUAUGAGGUGUGCAUAUAGUAUGGCAUGUCCUUUAUAAGAACUGACCAUUGUUUUUUUCUACUUAUUAGAAAUGGGAUCUUUAUAGCCCUUUAAAGUGUAAUAAUGUCCCAUAUCUUGAAAAUGCUGCAGUAAAAUGGUUUGAUAUGAGGUGUGCAUAUAGUAUGGGACAUCCCUGAUAAGAACUGACUGUUGCUUUUUUCUACUUAUUAGAAAUGGGAUCUUUACAGCCAUUUAAAGUGUAAUAAUGUCCCAUAUCUCGAAAAUGCUGCAGUAAAAUGGUUUGAUAUGAGGUGUGCAUAUAGUAUGGGAUGUCCCUGAUAAGAACUGACUUUUGUUUUUUUCUACUUAUUAGAAAUGGGAUCUUUAUGACCCUUUAAAUUGUAAUAAUGUCCCAUAUCUUGAAAAUGCUGCAGUAAAAUGGUUUGAUAUGAGGUGUGCAUAUAGUAUGGGACAUCCCUGAUAAGAACUGACUGUUGCUUUUUUCUACUUAUUAGAAAUGGGAUCUUUACAGCCAUUUAAAAUGUAAUAAUGUCCCAUAUCUCGAAAAUGCUGCAGUAAAAUGGUUUGAUAUGAGGUGUGCAUAUAGUAUGGGACAUCCCUGAUAAGAACUGACCAUUGUUUUUUUCUACUUAUUAGAAAUGGGAUCUUUACAGCCAUUUAAAGUGUAAUAAUGUCCCAUAUCUCGAAAAUGCUGCAGUAAAAUGGUUUGAUAUGAGGUGUGCAUAUAGUAUGGCAUGUCCUUUAUAAGAACUGACCAUUGUUUUUUUCUACUUAUUAGAAAUUAUGUCUUUACAGCCCUCCA